rnacentral:lncRNA from 1 species
ACAUAGGUCCCCAGAGAAUUUCAAUAUGUCUGAUGUCAAGAACGGAAAGUGAGACAGCCAGGUGGGAGGGGGUCCCUGGAGAAUCUCCAACCAGCCUGCGCACUGGGAAUGCGCACUGGAGUGAAAAUACAGAAGUUGGUGCCCUUUGCAGCAGCCAGGAGUCCGACUCCUCCUCUUCCUGUGUGGAACCUGGAAUUCAAACGGCUGGGGCCUCACUCACGGCAUAUGGAACUAACCACGCCCCUAACUAAGAAGGCACACCUUAGUUGCAGUUAGCACACAAUUAAAGCAACUCUCCAAGUUUUACCUUAAAGUUCAAAAUUGCUAGGAGUUGAAACUACUAGAAAUAUAUUUACAUGCAAGAGUCAAAGAAACUUUGAACUAUUUAUGGCCUUUAAUAAUUAAGUAAGGUAUACUCCUGUGAUCAAGACUUGGAGCAUAUUUGUUUCUCUCUGCCUGGUUCCUCUAGAAAUUGGAAACUAUCAGGGAGAGAUGAUGACAGCCUGAACAAGGAUGACAAUAAUGGAAACAGAGACAAAAGGACAGAGGUGGAACAGAGACCAACUCCGUUUCCCGAUCCCUUUGCAAUCUGCAUUGAACCAUGAGUCAAGUUCUUGAUAAAGGAGUGAAAAUGGAUGACAUUUAAGGCACAUCUGAAGAUGGGGAAACCACAGCACAGAAUAAGGCUGGGCCCUUGAAUCAAUAAAUGAAGGAGAACUACUCAAGAGAACAAAACCACCAGCAAUAUCCACCUGUAUUUGUCUUUUCAUAAUGUGUGACACAUGUGCUCAUGGAUUAUUGUCCGAAGCAAGACAUGUGACCAAGCCUAACAUCAACUGGGUGAAGAGCUAUAUGUUCCUUUCUCAAGAGGCACUACAAGUGACAUGCCACUGGGCAGGAUUUUUAUUUCAUUUGCAAUGAAUGAAGAAGCACAGCUCUGAAAGACUGAAUUCCCAGCACUGGGUGUCAGCUCUACCAAAUGCGGUACAGAUUGCAAUCUGACCACAGAAUCUCACCACAAAGAAUGCCGGGGUCUCCUCUGAUUAUAGCUACUGGCUAUAAGUUCUAACUAGGGUUUAAUGCAAAUUUUCCCUGUAGUCUGCUUGGGGAGUUGGCCUCAUUCUUGAAUUUUUCUCAGAAAGUUAUUGCCAAAAAUGUGAGUUCUCACCGCAGUGAAAGAGGAAAUCCAGCUAUGAGCAUAUAUAAUACAGGAGAAAGAAUGCAGAGAAAACACAUUCUUUUCUUGCUACUCAGUUGCCAGAGAAGUAUAUCUAUAAUAUUUUCAGUUGUGAUGCUAUGUCCCAUUGAAUUCAACCACACAUUGGAAAAAUCAGUUUACCCUAGAAUCUAGUUAUUGUUGUGGUACAGUUUAAUUUUUGUCAAAUAAUUCUUUCUAAAAUUUCUAAUGUAAGUCUUUAAUUUUCAAGAUAUUUUGCUUAGAAGAUGAUAUGGUUUGGCUGUGUCCCCACCCAAAUCUCACCUUGAAUUCCCAGGUGUUGUAGGGGGCAGGUCUUUCCUGUGCUGUUCUUGUGAAAGUGAGUAAGUCUCAUGAGAUCUGAAGGCUUUGAAAAACAGGAAUCUCCCUGUACAAGCUCUCUCUUUGCCUGCUGCCAUCCAUGUAAGACGUGACUUGCUCCUUCUUGUCUUCUGCCAUAAUUGUGAGUCUUCCCCAGCCAUGUGGAACUGUCUUGGUUGGAGUCCAGGUAUCUGCAAAUUAAAUAAGCACUUGAAGUGAUAGUAUCUGAGUGUCCGUAGGCAAAUGUUAGGAGAACUGAAUCAGAUGUUCUUUGAAAGAUUUUCAUGGUUCUAAAAUGUUCUGAUUUAAAAUCCACAAAGAAAAAAAGCAUUGAAAAUGAAUCAGCAAACUAGAUGUAAUUAAAGCUUCUUGCAAUUCCAUUAAUAAACUUUUUAGAAUGAAUUACA